GUUCUGGCAGCAUUCAGUAGUUACUUCCAGUCUUUGUUCGAUGUACUAAACAGAAAAGGCCUUGUUGUUGCUGUAAGUGUAAGACUGAGUGACGGAGACAAGAAUCUCAAGGCCUCUGCAUUUGCCCAGCUCUUGGAUUACCUGUACACUGGCAGUAUUCGGGUUACUAAACAAAGUGCGGCGAACAUCAUGCAUGCUGCCAAUGGCAGGUACUUCAACUUCAAAGAGGUCAAGCAGGCUUGUAUAAAGUUACUCCAGAACACAGGAACAACAGCAGAUAAUGGUACAUGUACCAUAGUCCAGAAUUCAGGAACACUGGCAGGAAAUGGUACCAUAGUCCAGAAUUCAGGAACACUGGCAAGAAAUGGUGCCAUAGUCCAGAACUUAGGAACAGUUGCAGGAAAUUGUACUGGUACAGCAAAUGGUAUUAUAGUCCAGAAUUCAGGAGCACAAGCAGGAAAUGGUGCCGUAGUCCAAAACUUGGGAACAGUAGCAGGAAAUGGUGCUGGUACAGGUACAGGUGAUGGUACUAUAGUCAAGAAUUCAGGAACACUGGCAGGAAAUGGUACCAUAGUCCAGAAUUCAGGAGCACAAGCCAGAAAUGGUACCAUAGUCCUGAAUUCAGGAACACAAGCAGGAAAUGGCACCAUAGUCCAGAAUUCAGGAACACAAGCAGGAAAUGGUACCAUAGUGCAGAAUUCUGGAGCAGUGGCAGGAAAUGGUACCAUAAUCCAGAAUUCAGGAGCACAAGUUGGAAAUGGUACCAUAGUCCAGAAUUCUGGAGCACAAGCAGGAAAUGGUACCAUGGUCCAGAAUUCAAGAGCACAAGCAGGAAAUGGUACCAUGGUCCAGAAUUCAGGAACACUGACAGGAAAUGGUACCAAAGUCCAGAAUUCAGGAGCACAAGCAGGAAAUGGUACCAUAGUCCAGAAUACUGGAGCACAAGCUGGAAAUGGUACCAUAGUCCAGAACUCAGGAACACUAGCAGGAAAUGGUACCAUACCCCAGAACUUGGGAAUAGGUGCAGGAAAUGGCCAUGGUACUGGUACAGGAAAUGGUGGCAUAAUCCAUAAUUCAGGAGCACAAGCAGGAAAUGGUACCAUAGUCCAGAACUUGGGAAUAGAUGCAGGAAAUGGCACUGGUACAGGAAAUGGUAUUAUAGUCCAGAAUUCAGGAGCACAAGUAGGAAAUGGUGCCGUUAUCCAGAAUUCAGGAACACAAGCAGGAAAUGGUACCAUAGUCCAGAAUUCUGGAGCACAAGCAGGAAAUGGUGCCAUAGUCCAGAAUUCUGGAGCACAAGCAGGAAAUGGUACCAUAGUCCAGAAGUUGGGAACAGUUGCAGGAAAUGGUACUGGUACAGGUAAUGGUACCACAGUCCAGAAUUCAGGAACAAUGCAAGAAAAGUGUACCAUACCCCAGAAUUCACAAAUGCCAACAGAAAAAUGUACCAUACCCCAGAACUUGGGAAUAGUUGCAAGAAUACUACAGGACUUAGGAACAAUGGCGAAAAAUGGUGCCACACUCCAGAACUCGGAAACAAUGGUGAGAAAUUCCCACGGAGAGGAAACAGAUGCACCGGCCUCUAGAUCUAACGAUGUCAUACAGAAAACUGUUAGCAUCAAUAGCAAUGAUGGCAUCCAUGGGGAAAAGAGUUUACAUGGUGGUGCAACCUACAAGCAAAAUGAAGUGUAUACAUCAGCAGACAGCAGCCAAAGUACUCCUCUACAAAAUGCCAGCUGUAACAAAGAGAAGCAGAAAGUUCCAACACGUGAGGAAGCUUGUAAGCCUCUCAGCAAGACAUUUGAGUCAAACUCUAUGCAAGAUACUUCUUCAGAUGAUAAUAAUGUUUCAUCAAGCUGUACCAAGGUCAAGGUAAAAGAGGAGGUACAGGAGUUCCCGUGCUUUAGUCAGUUGCCAUGGACACAUGAUGUGCAGAAGAAAGUACUAGAUGCAGAUGUAUAUCCAUUUGACAGCAACCCAAAGGGAAUAAAAGCCAGAGAAGAGGAUUUGAACCAGUUUCUUCUGAAUGAGCUUGAGAUGGAACUGGGAGGAAUCCCAGCCAUGGAAGAUCUGGACGAGGAUCCCAUUGUGAGCACAUCAGGUUGGAUGGAGGAGGAUCCAGAUUGCUCUGAAGGUGAAAGGUCAGAGGUAAGGUCAACAAUCGACUCUGACACAGACUGUGGUGAUAGUGAAGGGGGCAGGAGGAAGAGAAAAUGGUCUGAAGAGACGUUUCAGGGUAAAAAGAGAUCAAAGAGGAACAUGGAAACCUCAGAUGUGCACACAAGUGAUAGCAGCAGUGCACUGGACAGCCACUCUCCUGCAAAUUACUAUCCUUUGUUCAUGUCAAGACAACCUUCAGCAGAGAGUAAAAUACCUGGUUCUUCUCCUGUUAGAAAGGAUGUGGAGAGAUCCAAAAUGCCAAGCAACCCCAUCAUGUUCUUUGGAGACUUUGGUACCACCCAGGACACAAACCUGCAGGGUACCGUUCAUGUGAACAAACCAACAAACAUGCAAAUGGCAGUUAUGUCAAAGAGAGGAGCCUUUCCUCACUCGCAGAUUUCACAGCACAAAACAGUCCACAACCCCACCAUUGGGGUUAAACCGAGAAGUGUUUUCAUGUCAUUCGGAGACAGAGUUGUCGCUCGAGAUCUAGAGGUUACACAAACAAGCCGACCCACGUGAAAAGGACUGCUGAGUUUUGGAAGAGAAAAGCAGUGUGCAUAUUACUCAGAGCAUUCAAAAGUGAAGGCCAUCAAUAUCAUGAGCCCCAGCUUGUUUCUGCUUACCAGUCCUACCUGGCAAAAUAUUUAUCCGGCCUAAGCAGUUAUUUUUGCAGGGAUUUAAUUUUGCAGUUGAAUAGGAAAUGUGUUUUUGUUGCAAUAUUUUAAGUUUGUGGUUGAACCACUUCUGUAGUACUGUACAGUAAAAUAUGUUGGACAUGUAUGCUGUUAAUUCUUGAAUUUUUGAGGUUUUAUGUUCAAGUUUAUGCUGUGAAACAGUACUUGCUUGUGUUUCUAUUGAUGCACAGGUAUAUGUGGUAGUAUUCUAUCAGACUUGCAUUUAAAUAGUGUAACAAUUUUUGUCUCUCUCUAUCAUAGGUUGGACAAUCCAUUAUAAAGUGGAAUUCAUUCAGAAUAUCAUCAUGGCAUGUUGGACACAGUCUCUCAUUGGCUGGUGUGUUAUAGUAUCUUAUGACCUUUUUCGAUUUGUAAUGAGUGGGCACUGAUUCUUAGUUUUGUAAUGAUAUUUCUAAAAGAUUCGUUGAUCUAAAUUGUUAAAGGGUAAUUUUCAAGACAGAAGUCUGCAGUAGGUGCUAGGUUUGCUUAGACUUCUUAUUUCUUGUCUCCAGUCAAAGAGAAACGUGUCUAUCUGGCGGUUUUUGAAUAAAUUUUCAAACUGGUUACCAUGUAACGUUACAGAACUUUUGUGUGUUUCAGACUUAUGUAUUCUUGUUUACACUUUUCUGUAACGUUAACGUUAGAUGUUUGUUUCUAAUGUGUUUAUAGGAUAAAGGAUAGACGACCUGAAUGAGGUCUUUCAUUUAAGAUCUUUAAACAUCUUUUUAUUCAUUUUACGUGCAUUCGAAGAAAAACACAUGAUUAACGUUAAUAAAGCGAAGGAAUACACUGAUUUAUUUCGUAUUUCCAUUUCAUAUCACAGAGCUUUCAUCUUGUAGCCUUCAUUUUCUUUCAUUCCGCAUUCUUAUAACUAUAGUAAAUCGUAAAAAUGACAUGAAAUUGAUAAUAUAAGUUCGCCCCCCUCCCACACUUGGGGUUUGUUUACAUUUUGCACUUGCCGCCGCGCGGUUGCCAGGGAAUCCCUCGAUAUGCAAAUUUUAGAACGUACCAUUCCAUUCGACGAGGUUGUAGUUACCUUUUAUGAUUAGAGUAUUUAGUCCACGACUUCAUCGUAGAAAGGCAAGGAUUCAUUAUUCGUCUUCGUACACAAUACACAUCAAUAGAUACUCUGUUGAAGCGUCAGAACGAUCGGCAUGCGGUGUAAAAGUUGUCCGAACUUUUUCGUUCAUCCCCACACAACAUGAAGUGGACUCGCCGCGGCGCACUUAGCAACGCUCCGGGCGACUACCUCAUCAUUCCGCACUUGGACGCCGUCGUAGGUGGUCGUCAAUUUGCCAGAGCAGCGUACACAACCACAACCCCUUCUGAAAGUGUAAAUGCUAGGAACCCUGGGCAGGGCCGCUUUGCGGGGCCUGACGGGGGCGCGGUCAGUCAACAUGCUGGCAGCCCCCCAGGCCCCCCCUGCCCAGGUGUUCACGAAGAUUUUCUCCAACAUCCCAAGUCUUCCACCAGCGAACAACAUCACGCUGAAGAAGAUUGCGGAAUAUGCUAUGAUUUCAACAGGCACUACCAUCUGUGCCGUAGAAGCAUACAUGUUCUUUAAUCGGAACAAGAAGACGAUCGAAACCGAAGACAAAUCAACAUCGGCAGACGCACCAGCAAGGAAGGCACCUACCUACCCCUGGAUAGGGGUGGGGCCAGGCUACCAACAAGGGUGGUAAAGAGAAUUCUUCAGGAAUACCUGGGA